ACCUGGCUGGCUCAGUUGGUAGGGCAUGUGACUCUUGAUCUCAGGGUCAUGAGUUCAAGCCCCACGCUGGGCG
rnacentral:tRNA from 1 species